GAUGAACGCUGACGGCGUGCCUAAUACAUGCAAGUCGAGCGAACGGACGAGAAGCUUGCGUCUCGGAUGUUAGCGGCGGACGGGUGAGUAACACGUGGAUAACCUACCUAUAAUACUGGGAUAACUUCGGGAAACCGGAGCUAAUACCGGAUAAUAUUUUGAACCGCAUGGUUCAAUAGUGAAAUACGGUCUUGCUGUCACUUAUAGAUGGAUCCGCGCUGCAUUAGCUAGUUGGUAAGGUAACGGCUUACCAAGGCAACGAUGCAUAGCCGACCUGAGAGGGUGAUCGGCCACACUGGAACUGAGACACGGUCCAGACUCCUACGGGAGGCAGCAGUAGGGUACCUUCCGCAGUGGGCGAAAGCCUGACGGAGCAACGCCGCGUGAGUGAUGACGGUCUUCGGAUCGUAAAACUCUGUUAUUAGGGAAGAACAUAUGUGCAAGUAACUGUGCACAUCUUGACGGUACCUAAUAAGAAAGCCACGGCUAACUACGUG
rnacentral:rRNA from 1 species